rnacentral:rRNA from 1 species
GACGAACGCUGGCGGCGUGCCUAAUACAUGCAAGUAGAACGCUGAAGAGAGGAGCUUGCUCUUCUUGGAUGAGUUGCGAACGGGUGAGUAACGCGUAGGUAACCUGCCUUGUAGCGGGGGAUAACUAUUGGAAACGAUAGCUAAUACCGCAUAACAAUGGAUGACACAUGUCAUUUAUUUGAAAGGGGCAAUUGCUCCACUACAAGAUGGACCUGCGUUGUAUUAGCUAGUAGGUGAGGUAAUGGCUCACCUAGGCGACGAUACAUAGCCGACCUGAGAGGGUGAUCGGCCACACUGGGACUGAGACACGGCCCAGACUCCUACGGGAGGCAGCAGUAGGGAAUCUUCGGCAAUGGGGGCAACCCUGACCGAGCAACGCCGCGUGAGUGAAGAAGGUUUUCGGAUCGUAAAGCUCUGUUGUAAGUCAAGAACGGGUGUGAGAGUGGAAAGUUCACACUGUGACGGUAGCUUACCUGAAAGGGACGGCUAACUACGUG